rnacentral:rRNA from 1 species
GAUACUUGUUUAUGAUGCGAUGGAGGGACGGAGAAGGUUAUGCCAGCUUGGCGAUGGUUGUCCAAGUGGAAGGAUGUAGUUAGGUUUAGUAGGCAAAUCCGCUAGACUAUUAAUGAGAUCUGAUAGCAAGCUGUACUUGUACAGCGAAGUGGCAAAUACCCUGCUUCCAGGAAAAGCUUCUAAGCGAUAGUCAUAAACAAAUCG